CUUCAAGGUGGCUUAGUGGUUAGAGCGUCCGCCUCAUAUGUGGGAGGUCAUGGGUUGGAACCCCGGCGAAGU